rnacentral:rRNA from 1 species
CUUUUCUUGAUUAAAUAUGAAGUAUAACCUGCUCAAUGAAAAUUUAAAUAGCCGCGGUAUGAUGACCGUGCAAAGGUAGCAUAAUCAUUAGUCUUUUAAUUGUAGGCUGGAAUGAAUGGUUGGACGAAAUAAUUUCUGUCUUAAUUUUAUUAAUUUGAAGUUAAUUUUUGUGUUAAAAAGCUCAAAUUAUUUUUUGGGACGAGAAGACCCUAUAGAGUUUUAUAUUUUUUAAAAAUUUAUUUUUUGUAUUUUAGUAAGUUACUAAAUUUAUUUUGUUGGGGUGAUGUAAAGAUAAAUAUAACUCUUUAUAUUUUUAUUUAUGAAUUAUUAUAUUUGUGAUCCAUUAUUAAUGAUUAAAAGAUUAAAUUACCUUAGGGAUAACAGCGUAAUCUUUUUAGAGAGUUCUUAUUGACAAUAAGGAUUGCGA